rnacentral:rRNA from 1 species
AAUGGGGGGAACCCUGACGCAGCAACGCCACGUGUGGGAAGAAGCAUUUCGGUGUGUAAACCACUGUCGGAAAGGAAUAACGGAAGACUUCGGUCUUUAUGAAUGUACUUUUAGAGGAAGCACCGGCAAACUUCGUGCCAGCAGCCGCGGUAAUACGAGGGGUGCAAGCGUUGUUCGGAAUCACUGGGCGUAAAGGGAGCGUAGGCGGAAGUGCAAGCAAUCUGUAUAAUCCUGGGGCCCAACCCCAGUUCUGCAGAUUGGACUGUAUUUCUUGAAUAGUUCAGAGGCAAGCGGAAUUUCUGGUGUAGCGGUGGAAUGCGUAGAGAUCAGAAAGAACACCAAUGGCGAAGGCAGCUUGCUGGGGACUUAUUGACGCUGAGGCUCGAAAGUGUGGGUAGCAAA